rnacentral:lncRNA from 1 species
GCCUCAGAAAUUUUUUUACUUUAUAUUAUAUAUAUUAAUAUUAUAAAACUGUAUAUAUACUCUAACGUACAACACAUUGACAUAUAAGUGUAUUUAGUGGAGCUGGUUUCUAGCAUAUAUCCCUAGGUAUAAGGCCUAGUUUUAAGUCUCAAUUAUGUCAAUCUAUUCAUAUUUUUAUUCUUUUUUCAUUGUAACAACAAAAUUUAAAAUAGUUUUAAAAAAAAAAGACGUUUUCUCCUAAAUAAAUAAAAAG